rnacentral:rRNA from 1 species
CCUACGGGAGGCAGCAGUGGGGAAUAUUGCACAAUGGGGGAAACCCUGAUGCAGCGACGCCGCGUGAGUGAAGAAGUAUUUCGGUAUGUAAAGCUCUAUCAGCAGGGAAGAAGAAAGACGGUACCUGACUAAGAAGCCCCGGCUAACUACGUGCCAGCAGCCGCGGUAAUACGUAGGGGACAAGCGUUAUCCGGAUUUACUGGGUGGAAAGGGAGCGUAGACGGCUGUGCAAGUCUGAAGUGAAAGCCCAGGGCUCAACCCUGGGACUGCUUUGGAAACUGUGGAGCUAGAGUGCUGGAGAGGUAAGUGGAAUUCCUAGUGUAGCGGUGAAAUGCGUAGAUAUUAGGAGGAACACCAGUGGCGAAGGCGGCUUACUGGACAGUAACUGACGUUGAGGCUCGAAAGCGUGGGGAGCAAACAGGAUUAGAUACCCUAGUAGUC